AUUGAACGCUGGCGGCAUGCCUUACACAUGCAAGUCGAACGGCAGCACGGGUGCUUGCACCUGGUGGCGAGUGGCGAACGGGUGAGUAAUACAUCGGAACAUGUCCUGUAGUGGGGGAUAGCCCGGCGAAAGCCGGAUUAAUACCGCAUACGAUCUACGGAUGAAAGCGGGGGACCUUCGGGCCUCGCGCUAUAGGGUUGGCCGAUGGCUGAUUAGCUAGUUGGUGGGGUAAAGGCCUACCAAGGCGACGAUCAGUAGCUGGUCUGAGAGGACGACCAGCGACACUGGGACGGAGACACGGACCAGACUCCUACGGGAGGCAGCAGUGGGGAAUUUUGGACAAUGGGCGAAAGCCUGAUCCAGCAAUGCCGCGUGUGUGAAGAAGGCCUUCGGGUUGUAAAGCACUUUUGUGCGGAAAGAAAUCCUUGGCCCUAAUACGGUCGGGGGAUGACGGUACCGGAAGAAUAAGCACCGGCUAACUACGUG
rnacentral:rRNA from 1 species